UAGACAAAGAUCAAGCCCUAAGGAGAUGGUCCGGAAGGCCUCCAGCAGUUACUCAGCCUGUAGGAUUAUAGGGAGCCAGGAAGGAAAGCGAAACAACUGGUUCCUUCUGGUCAAGAGGAUGAAAUCUCUAAACUAUCAUAUGUUAAUCUAGUGCCCAGGCCAAAGGAUUACCCUGUCUGCAAGACAGGGCCACUCCUAGGAAGACAUGCUCACUUUAAGCUGGGCUAUGGAAUAAUGAUCCCUUUAAUGAGAUACUGUAUUUUUCCUUCCCAGAAUUCCUGGCCCCCAAGCACAGUUCCUACAAGGUGCCAUGAGGUUCUGUUGAAUCUGCUUUUCUCUUUUUCCCUUUUCUGACUUUUGAAUGCUUGUCAGAACAUAAAUUUGCUUUUUGCUAAUACUUUGGGCUUCCUCUAAAGCUCUACUCUGCCCUCCUUGCUGGUUUAACACAAAGAGAAUGACAUUUUUUUCCUUUUCUUCCUCCUUUUUCAGACACAGAAGGAGUUUUUGUUUUGUCUUUGACAAGGGUCUCACUACAUAGAUCUGGCUUCUACCUCCCUGAAAGGACCCACAUGGUGGAGGCAAGAAGCAGCAUCAGCAAGUGGUCUACAUGAACACCAUGACACCUGUGGCCCCCUGCACCCCAUAAAUGCAAAAAGGAAAACUGUUAAAGAUGGGAGAGAUACCUGUCCACUAGAUGAGUUACUUCUGUGCCUCAGCCCUCCCCUUGACACCAAUGUUGAAGGUACUCGAGGGACCCCUUUCUAGCUUCUCAGAAGUUGCUCUUUCCUCUGUCCCCCCUUUCAGAUUCCAGCGAACAUCCUAAGCCUGCCCGCCCAGACAUCUGACAUUCUCACCCUUUCUCUGAGGACACCCCAUGUGCCCAACCAUGCACUGCUCCAGCACUGCCCUCACUACGCCUGCCUGCUUUCUUGACAUCUAACUCAAAAGAGCAUGGCUUUCUGCCUCCUCUUGCCCAUCUCCCUCCUCCUGGAAGCUGCUGAAAUUCCUCUACAUAAACUCAAAAGUAAAAAAUAAGAAAUCUGCUUAC